rnacentral:rRNA from 1 species
GACGAACGCUGGCGGCGUGCUUAAUACAUGCAAGUCGAACGGAAAGGCCCUGCUCUUGUGGGGUGCUCGAGUGGCGAACGGGUGAGUAACACGUGAGUAACCUGCCCUUGACUUUGGGAUAACUUCAGGAAACUGGGGCUAAUACCGGAUAGGAGCUCCUGCUGCAUGGGGGGGGAUGGAAAGUUUCGGCGGUGGGGGAUGGACUCGCGGCUUAUCAGCUUGUUGGUGGGGUAGUUGCUUACCAAGGCUUUGACGGAUAGCCGGCCUGAGAGGGUUGCCGGCCACAUUGGGACUGCGAUACGGCCCAGACUCCUACGGGAGGCAGCAGUCGGGAAUAUUGCACAAUGGGCGGAAGCCUGAUGCGGCAACGCCGCGUGCGGGAUGACGGCCUUCGGGUUGUAAACCGCUUUCGCCUGUGACGAAGCGUGAGUGACGGUAAUGGGUAAAGAAGCACCGGCUAACUACGUG